AUUCUACUCCCUCCGUUGCACAAUACAUGCCUUCUAUUUGUCAAAAUAUAUAUGUAUCUAGACAUGUUUUAGUAUAUAGGCACAUCCAUUUUUGGACAAAUGGAAGUCAAGUAUUUUGGAACGGAGGAAGUACACA
rnacentral:pre_miRNA from 1 species